UUUUCUAAAUUGGACAAGUAAAAGUUGACUUGGGGAGUAUAUUCUAGCAUUAGGGUCGUUUUUACUGAUGGACUUGUACUUCCCCAAAAUACAAAUGUUGGUAUACUUUCCUUGGAUUUACCCUUAAUACAUAUGUUUAUUGGCAUUUUAAAUUGUUCUGAUUUUUUUUUUGGUCCAGCUUGCUAAUUUCAUAUGCUGCACCUAUUUCUAUGAAAAAUUCUUUUUCAUUUGCAUAAAUGUAUAUUCUAGUAUUUGGGGUAUUAAUAUGUAUUGAUCUAUAUAUACUUUCUUGUAUAUAAAGUUUCAUGAGUGUACCUUUAAUCUCGUGUCUUAUCCGCAUAUCAUUAUUCCAAGUAUUUGAUUUCCACAUUCAAAUCUUAGCCCAGUAAUUUGAGUUGAGGGUGCAAACCCGAGAGAGUUUUUGUGUUGUUUCUUCUGCUAAAAGAAUCAUUUUACAGAGUCUCAUUCCAAAGAAUUUUGAUGCAUAGUUCAGUAGCUCAAAUAGAUGAAUAAAUAAAACAAAUAAAAACACGCAUACAAAAGAGAAGGACAUAGCAUUUUGUUAUAUCACUAUUUCAAUUAUUCUAUUGAGUUACAAUAUUUACUAUUCACCUAUGUUCUUAAGUUUUUGAUGUGUUUGUUAGCUUUUUAUUAUGCUUUUGUGAUACAAGGGCUUAGAUAUGAUGAUUUAUAUGAUCCAAUGUAUGAUUUGGACGUGAAGGAGGCUCUUAAUCGCCUUCCGAGGGAGAUUGUUGAUGCCAAAAACCAGUACCUUCUGUGUGCCAUGGACCUCUUCAUGAAGCACCCGUACCUCCCAGAGGAUCUCCAGAGUCUAUACAAUCAACGCUUAACAAAAGAAUUAUGGCAGCAGAGAACACGGAUUUUUAUCAGAAUUUGAAGUCUUGCAGUUUCAAGUAUAGGAGGGUUUCCAUGAAUGUUGUUGCAGGUUCACGUAAAGGUGAGGGGCAGAGUUGUUGGCAACAGAUCUAUACGGUCGGCUGUACUAUGGUUGUUGUGAUUACCUAUUGCUAUUCAUUGACUCCAUUGACUGCACUGAUGGAUGUCGUCCAAGUAAAAUGUAUUUCUUGAGGACGCUCAUUGAGAAAACCUUAAAAGAUCGAGAAGAUUUCCUCGUCGAACCCAAUUUUGUCUCUAAUCUUAUCCCGCCUGACGAGUAUGUUCAUCAAAGUUGCUAUUCUUUCUCAUUUAUUGGCACUACAAUACAUGAGACAUAUCAACCUCGGUGGGACUAUUUAGGAAGGUGAUAACUUAAAUCUUUUUUGGCAUUCAAAUUUUUUCUCUACACAUCUCGAGUAAAGUAAUAUACAUGAUUCAUUACGUAGAACAAAAUGAAUGCUUCAACUUUUGUAUUGAGAUUUAAAUAUUCAAUAGGGAUAAUCCCUAAUUAUUCAUAAAUGACCAGUUUUUGAUAUCUAUUAGAUCUAAAAACAUGUAUACUUCAGUAGUUUAAUUUGUGCUUCCGUUUCUCACAUUAUUUCAAUAGAUAUAUGCAUUUUAUCCUUCUAAUUUCGGUUGUAUGUGUAUGUAAAGAACAAAGAUAGAUAUAUGAUUUCACUUAGUUACAUACUACUACUCCAUCUAAACUAUAUAGCUUCUAUGUUUUAUUGAUUUUCA